CAGCAGCCGCGGGAACACGUAGGGUGCAAGCGUUAAUCGGAAUUACUGGGCGUAAAGCGUGCGCAGGCGGUUAUAUAAGACAGAUGUGAAAUCCCCGGGCUCAACCUGGGAACUGCAUUUGUGACUGUAUAGCUAGAGUACGGCAGAGGGGGAUGGAAUUCCGCGUGUAGCAGUGAAAUGCGUAGAUAUGCGGAGGAACACCGAUGGCGAAGGCAAUCCCCUGGGCCUGUACUGACGCUCAUGCACGAAAGCGUGGGGAGCAAACAGGAUUAGAUACCCCCGUAGUCCCUGUCUCUUAUAC
rnacentral:rRNA from 1 species